rnacentral:rRNA from 1 species
UACAGAGGGGCAAGCGUUGUUCGGAAUUACUGGGCGUAAAGGCUCGUAGGUGGCCAACUAAGUCAGACGUGAAAUCCCUCGGCUUAACCGGGGAACUGCGUCUGAUACUGGAUGGCUUGAGUUUGGGAGAGGGACGCGGAAUUCCAGGUGUAGCGGUGAAAUGCGUAGAUAUCGGGAGGAACACCAAUGGCGAAGGCAGCUCGCUGGGACGGUACUGACGCUGAGACGCGAAAGCGUGGGAGCAAACAGG